AACGAACGCUGGCGGCAGGCUUAACACAUGCAAGUCGAGCGCCCCGCAAGGGGAGCGGCAGACGGGUGAGUAACGCGUGGGGAUCUACCCAUCUCUACGGAAUAACGCAUGGAAACGUGUGCUAAUACCGUAUACGUCCUACGGGAGAAAGAUUUAUCGGAGAUGGAUGAGCCCGCGUUGGAUUAGCUAGUUGGUGGGGUAAAGGCCUACCAAGGCGACGAUCCAUAGCUGGUCUGAGAGGAUGAUCAGCCACACUGGGACUGAGACACGGCCCAGACUCCUACGGGAGGCAGCAGCGGGGAAUAUUGGACAAUGGGCGCAAGCCUGAUCCAGCCAUGCCGCGUGAGUGAUGAAGGCCCUAGGGUUGUAAAGCUCUUUCACCGGUGAAGAUAAUGACGGUAACCGGAGAAGAAGCCCCGGCUAACUUCGUGCCAGCCGCCGCAGUAACAC
rnacentral:rRNA from 1 species